ACGUUUUGCGUCUUGCUGUGCGUGAGGAAGCGGGGAUCCAGGUCAAGGCUAUGGAAAGGCAGGACUUUGAAAUGACCCUGUCCUCAGCCUGGAGGAUGCGGUAUUCUGAUUGUCUGGUGCUGUGUCAACUGGGCCUGCCUCUGGGAUAGUGUUGUGGCUGCCCCACGAGAACCCUAUAUGCCAGUUCCAGAAGCAAAAACAAAAAAAGUUCGGGUACAGCGGCUCACACCUGUAAUCCCAGCUCUUAGGGAGAUGGAAACUGGAGGAUCACUUGAGGCCAGGAGUUCAAGACCAGCCUGGGCAACAUAGCAAGACCCAGUCUCUUAAAAGAAAAUUAAAAAGAAAGAGUAAAUAAAGUUCCAGAAGCUUUGCUCUCCUU
rnacentral:lncRNA from 1 species